AUAUAUAUAUAUAUGUUUAAAUUUUUUUUGCUUCAAAUGUUUAUGUUUGGUUAAGAUAUGAUUUUUUACUUUUAAUUUUUUGCAAAUAUCUUAUUUAAUUGCUUUGGGCUAAACAGCUCUCUUCCUUUUUCUCUACAAAGGUAAGUAAUAUUAGACUAAGUAAAUGGAGAAACUCGAACUCAGAAUCUCCCUACUCUUACAUCUUAAAGGUGGAGGAAGACUAAUCAGACUAUUCCCUGAUUGAUAACAACUAAUUAAUUUUUAAUGUGCAAACAAAUUAUGCUUUUUUUUUUGCUUUUAAAAAAUCACAAAGUAGAAAAAAAGGGGUUAUUUUUUAGCAUUGAACCAAACUACAUUAGUAAUUCGAUAUAUAUCAUUUACAGG
rnacentral:misc_RNA from 1 species